GUGCUACUACAACCGCGCCGACAAGGUCUUAAGCACCAUUUGGUCACCUUGGAGGGCGAGUCUUAGUCUAAGA
rfam:Bhargavaea cecembensis DSE10 contig000010, whole genome shotgun sequence.